ensembl:lincRNA Gm16157 predicted gene 16157
AUGGCAUCCCCUAAGACCUCAGAGGUGGCCGGCUCAAGAAAGUAUCUUCAAAUCCUGAAACUGGGCGGGAAGAGGCAUGGCAUCCAGGAAUCUUUUCUGCCGGUUUCAGAGUCCCAACAGUCUCCUGGAAACUGUAAUGUGCCUACGAUUUACUAAAAAGCCAAGCAGGAGCUCAUUUGACAAAGCAAUAUUCAAGGUCGACAAUUCUCCAGUAUACACAGCUGUUUCAAAACGCUGCUUUGGGAGGAUGCAGCGAGGUCCUGAGUUCAAUUCCCACCAACCACAUGGUGGCUCACAACCAUCUGUAAUGGAAUCAGAUGCCUUCUGCCGCUGUGUCUGAAGACUGUACUCACAUAUAUAAAGAAUUUGAUCAGUUUGAUGAAAUUUCAUUGAUGUCAACUCUCCAGCUGUCUGUGCCUUACCAAAAGCUGUUUGCCUCCAAGACAAUAAACAGNNNGUGUGAUCCUUUCUCUUGCUUAAGCAGGAAGUCACCACUCAACAGGAAGGAAUUUAAAACCAAUCCCACAAAAU